UGAGAUCAAACGUUUAUAAUUCUAUUUUUUAUCAUGUUAAUAUAAUUUUUUGCUGAUUUUUUUAAAAGCCUCGUGAAUAAAAGAUAAUGAUUUGUUUGAACGAGAUCGAAGAAAUAGAUAAUACAAAAAACAAGUAAUUCAAAAAAAAAAAGAAAAAAGUAAAUAAAAUAAUAGAGUGAAAAUAAGAAAAAUAAAAAAGUAAAUACGAUAGGACAAAUACGAAAACGGGGUCGUUUUUAUCUCGCUCGCACGCGGUUUGGCC
rnacentral:lncRNA from 1 species